rnacentral:rRNA from 1 species
UACGAAGGGGGCUAGCGUUGCUCGGAAUUACUGGGCGUAAAGGGCGCGUAGGCGGAUGUUUAAGUCAGAGGUGAAAGCCCAGGGCUCAACCUUGGAACUGCCUUUGAUACUGGACAUCUUGAGUAUGGGAGAGGUGAGUGGAACUCCGAGUGUAGAGGUGAAAUUCGUAGAUAUUCGGAAGAACACCAGUGGCGAAGGCGACUCACUGGCCCAUUACUGACGCUGAGGCGCGAAAGCGUGGGGAGUAAACAGG